AGAGUGAACGCUGGCGGCAGGCCUAACACAUGCAAGUCGAACGGCAGCACAGGGGAGCUUGCUCCCUGGGUGGCGAGUGGCGGACGGGUGAGGACAACGUCGGAAUCUGCCUUUUUGUGGGGGAUAACGUAGGGAAACUUACGCUAAUACCGCAUACCGACCCGGGCCGGGAGGUUCGGGGUGAAAGCGGAGGACCUUCGGGCUUCGCGCAGAAAGAUGAGCCGACGUCGGAUUAGCUAGUUGGUGGGGUAAAGCCCACCAAGGCGACGAUCCGUAGCUGGUCUGAGAGGAUGAUCAGCCACACUGGAACUGAGACACGGUCCAGACUCCGUACGGGAGGCAGCGAGUGGGGGAAUAGUUAGGAACAAGUCGGGCGCGUAAAGCCCUGACUCCAGCCAAGUCGCCCGCGGU
rnacentral:rRNA from 1 species